UUCAGCUCAGUUGGGGUUGACUGCUGGAAAGGAAGGACGCAAGCUGUAUCUGCCAGCUGAAGAUCAGCCAAACCCUGAGACUGUGGGAGCCAGAGGUGCUGCAACCCAGGCAGACACCAGGGUACCCACAGAGGCCCUGCAGAGUCUGGAGUUGCUGGGGACAGUGCAGACCAGGGAACCUGGAGACAGCAGAGAUGCCCAAACUGCAGCACUGGGAAUCAUGGGACAAGCCAGAACAGGCCUGACUUCCUCCUUAUUCUGAUUCAGCUCUGAGGUCAAGCUCCGUCUGACUCACAGGGUCCAGAUUCCAAGGGAUCUGCCCACAGCAUCCCUGUGGCUAAGGACUAGAAGGGUCUCUCUUCAGCAGCUCUUUAAUCAGCCACUGGAAUCACUAGAAUUGAUUUACUACCUGGAUUUCCAUCUAAAUCAACGGGACUACUCAUUAAUUGACUGCACUGUUUGCUGGCCCUUAUUUCCAUCUGUACAUUGAGAUGAUAUCCAGCAACAUGAGAGAGCCUCCAGGAAAGGCCAUUUACACUAUUGAGAGAGAGAGAUUUCAGUGCUGUGACUGCUCUUUUUCAGUAGGACUAUAGUAAAGAAAACAAUUGAGGGAAUUUUUAAAGUUACCUUUCUCACAAUGAGGUCCGUAAAAUCCAUCUGGACAUUCACAGACAUGCCUUUCAUUGCAAACACCUCCAUUUCUGCACCCUCCUGGACAUUCAGCUUCAUGAAAAACAACAACAUUGUUAAUCGGAUAUUACAUACUUCAGUUAGCACUCCACUUUGAACAGCGUUGAUACCGUCUAUUGACAGAAGAGCAAAAAUAACUAGAUAGCAACUUUUGUUGAGGUUGCAUCAUAUAAUCGAUUGCACUCUUGAAAGUACAUGUGAUAGUGUUCUGCCACUCUGUGCUAGUCAAUAAACUAACGAAUAAUGUGGCCUGUCUGAAAAAACCACCACCUUAAACUGCCUGGAAAUGAAUAGGUAGCCAGUACAGAUCCUCGAGCACUGGUGUCAUGCUCCUAGUUAGGAGCCUGCUUAUCUAGCAGGCUUGGCUUCAGUUUUUUGGCUUGAUUUAAGGUGUGGCCCAAGGCAGAGUGCAUUACAUUACUCUAGUGUUGGAUCUGUAUGAAAUGAAAGACUCAAUCUUCACACUGGGCGAAGAUGAUGGGAAGGAAGCAUACCUGCCCACUGAUCCCAUAUCAUCAUUCAACUGUUAGUCACAUCCCAAAUCUCUACCCAACAGUGGCCAAAGCAUUUAACAACAGUGGAAGAGAAACACAUUUGGGCAUCAUCAGCAUUCUAAAAAACAUCACAGCCCAUGCCUCUUCACUAUCAACUGCCCCAUAUCCACAUUGAACAAGAGGUGGGAGAAACUGGAACCCUACGGAACUCCUCCCCCAAAAUGACCCCUCAGGGCAAAAGAGCAAUUCGUCCAAAAUACCUGCUGAGAUCUCUCAGACAAAAACAAAGCUACUGAGUGGCAGCAAUGUCUACUUCCACUGGAGCAAGCCAAUAGCACCUUAUGAGCAGUGGUACCAAAAUCAGCAUAUAGCUCUAACAGUACCAGCAUGGUCAUCUGCUAUUUAUCCAUCACCAGGAGGGAAUUAUCUACCAAACUCUUUGCCAAACCUUGUUCUGUAACCAAAAUGGCAAAGUUCAAAGAGCUCUGAGGUAGACAGAUAAUCUGAGAAUCGCCUUGCCACAACCUCCUCAAUAUUUUUAAUCAAAAUUAGAUGAGUUUCUUGAUGGUAAUUGGCUAGAUUGUUAGUAUCAAGUGAAUUGUUUGUGUGUAAUUAUCAUAAUACAGCUUCCUUAAUUGACAGUGUCUGUCAGCAAUGGUCCCAAUUCUUCUCUAUUUUUAUCUUUACCAGAAAGUGGUACAAUCCAUCACGCUGAUGCUGGAAAGAUGUACCACCAACCAUUGGCACAAUCCAAUUCCUGAAUGGAAUUAAGUGGAGUCCAAAGUUUAAAUAUUUCCAGAGUUUACAGAUAAUAUUUUACUUUUGCUGCAAACUGUAGAAUGUUUGUAAAUUUAGAUGCGCCAGCUUGCAUGGGGCACUUCUGCAGGCCACAGCUAUUACAAACUGUAAUUCACACUAAUUCCCUCACCCACAGUUUUAGUCAGCUGGUAUGUGUAAUCAUCUGAAAGAAUAUGGAUUAACUCUUAAACAAAUUUCCCUAUAGAAAUCAUAAGAGAUGGCUAAACAGAACUACAGGCAAAUAUGGCAAGCUGUCAUGAUUAUUAAUCAUUUUCUGUCCUGGGUUACAUCUCUACAAUCCCUUUGAAGUCAAUAAGGUACCAUGGGUAAACCUGAGAACAGAGACAAUAGAACAAAUUCUGCUUUAAAAGGCUCUGUAUGUUGUGCAGAAGUGAAGCUCUAGACCACUAGACAAAAGCGAGUGAACUGGAACUGGAGAAGACGAAAAGGUGAAGACUGAGAGUCAUUAUAUAUAAGCUGUAGAUACAGGAAGCAAAAUGUAUUGCUAUAAAAGUAAAGCUCUCUGAAACAGUAGUA